AGCUCCCAUUUCCUUUUUCCCUCUCUCCCUCGGUCUCCCUUCCUGCCGCCGCCACCGGACGGCGCACCGCCGCCGGAGGCCGGCGGCUCUGCCUCCUUUCUCCUCCCCCUUCUUCCUAUCUCUCUUUCACCCCUCACUUCUCGCCCUCUUCCCUCAUCUCCCUUCCUCCUCCCCUGCCCUUGUCCUCACCGCACCAGCCGCAGCUGCGGCCGCUCAUUUCUCCGGCGGCGAAGGUCGCCGCCUGCCAGCGUCACCACUACGUCCAUGCCUCCCACCUCUCAUCUCCCUCUCGCCGACAACAGCCACGGCAAUAGCAGCAGCUGAUCGGUCCGCCACCUCCCUUUCCAGAUCCAGCGCCACCACUGCCCCUGCCUCUUUCCGCCGGCCGCCGUGUCGCGCAGCUCCGGCGAGAAUGAAGAAACAAUUGAGAUGCUGAAAUGAAUUUUCAUAGUAUCUGCACAAAAGAAAUCAAAAUUACCACUUGAGCGAAAAUGAACAGACGAGAAGUUGGUGUAAGAAAACAAACGAGGAAAACGAAUUGGUGAUGAUGAAUUGAGGAUGAUGCAAUGAGGUUUAAAUAGAUUGAAUUACUUGUUCGUCAACUACUGUGUGAAAGAAAUCAAAGUUUGCUGCGGUAGAAAUCAAAGUUUGAAAUCAAAGUU